UACAACUUCGGUAGUACAAAUCCUAAAACAGGAACGAUACAGAAAAGAGUAGCAUGCCCCUGCGCAAGGACGAUAUGCAAAAUCGUCAAGUGUUCGUUAUUAUU
rnacentral:snRNA from 1 species